rnacentral:rRNA from 1 species
UACCAGCACCCCGAGUGGUUGGGACGAUUAUUGGGCCUAAAGCAUCCGUAGCCGGUUCUGCAAGUCCUCCGUUAAAUCCACCUGCUCAACAGAUGGGCUGCGGAGGAUACCGCAGAGCUAGGAGGCGGGAGAGGCAAACGGUACUCAGUGGGUAGGGGUAAAAUCCGUUGAUCCAUUGAAGACCACCAGUGGCGAAGGCGGCUUGCCAGAAUGCGCUCGACGGUGAGGGAUGAAAGCUGGGGGAGCAAACCGG